rnacentral:rRNA from 1 species
UACGGAAGGGUGCAAGCGUUACUCGGAAUUACUGGGCGUAAAGCGUGCGUAGGUGGUUCGUUAAGUCUGUCGUGAAAGCCCCGGGCUCAACCUGGGAAUGGCGAUGGAUACUGGCGGGCUAGAGUGCGGUAGAGGAGAGUGGAAUUCCCGGUGUAGCAGUGGAAUGCGCAGAUAUCAGGAGGAACACCAAUAGCGAAGGCAGCUCGCUGGGACGUUACUGGACACUGAGGCGCGAAAGCGUGGGG